rnacentral:rRNA from 1 species
CACUGAAUACAUAGGUGUAAGAGGCGAACCGGGGGAACUGAAACAUCUAAGUACCCAGAGGAAAAGAAAUCAAUUGAGAUUCCCACAGUAGCGGCGAGCGACCUGGGACCAGCCCUAAAGUGUGUGGUGUGAUAGUGGAACGGUCUGGAAAGUCCGGCGAUACAGGGUGAUAGCCCCGUACACGAAAUCUAUCCAUGCAUUAUUCGAGUAAGUCGGGACACGUGUUAUCUUGACUGAACAUGGGGGGACCAUCCUCCAAGGCUAAAUAC